GAAAUUUUAACGUUUUUGGUUAUUAUCUUGAAUAUUUUUAUAGAUAGAGAUAAACUGUAAACAUCAAUAAAGUUCAGCAAAGUCAGAUCUACAAAUAGGUCAACAUGACCAAAAUUGUCAGUUGACUCCUUAAGGAGUUAUUGCCCUUUAUAGUCAAUUUACAAAAUAUUUUCCUCUGUUACUAAUGGGCCAAGUUCAUUGUAGAUAGAGAUAAUUGUAAGUAGCAAGAACGUUUAGUAAAGUAAGAACUUCAAACACAUCACCAUCUGACACCAAAACACAAUUUUGUCAUGAAUCCAUC
rnacentral:lncRNA from 1 species